GACACGCUCCUUAGAUCCACCUCUGGAGGGCGCUGUUCUCUGAGCAGAGCUCCUCAGCAGCUUUCUGGCUGUACAGUUGGAGGUGCUUGAGUCAUUGGCGUGUGACAGCAGUCCACCCACCCCCCUGACCCACCUGCUGCACUGGCACCAUGCCGAGUAGUGUGUGAGCUCCCAGUGCUGAUGGUCCAGGAGGUGGACAGU